GACGAACGCUGGCGGCGUGCUUAACACAUGCAAGUCGAACGGAAAGGCCCUGCUUUUGUGGGGUGCUCGAGUGGCGAACGGGUGAGUAACACGUGAGUAACCUGCCCUUGACUUUGGGAUAACUUCAGGAAACUGGGGCUAAUACCGGAUAGGAGCUCCUGCUGCAUGGUGGGGGUUGGAAAGUUUCGGCGGUUGGGGAUGGACUCGCGGCUUAUCCGCUUGUUGGUGGGGUAGUGGCUUACCAAGGCUUUGACGGGUAGCCGGCCUGGGAGGGUGACCGGCCACAAUGGGACUAAGAUACGGCCCAGAAGCCUACGGGAGGCAGCAGUGGGGAAUAUUGCACAAUGGGCGGAAGCCUGAUGCAGCAACGCCGCGUGCGGGAUGACGGCUUUCGGGUUGUAAACCGCUUUCGCCUGUGACGAAGCGUGAGUGACGGUAAUGGGUAAGGAAGCACCGGCUAACUACGUG
rnacentral:rRNA from 1 species